UACGUAGGGUGCGAGCGUUAAUCGGAAUUACUGGGCGUAAAGCGUGCGCAGGCGGUUUUGUAAGUCAGAUGUGAAAUCCCCGGGCUUAACCUGGGAACUGCGUUUGAAACUACAAGGCUAGAGUGUGGCAGAGGGGGGGUGGAAUUCCACGUGUAGCAGUGAAAUGCGUAGAGAUGUGGAGGAACACCGAUGGCGAAGGCAGCCCCCCUGGGUUAACACUGACGCUCAGGCACGAAAGCGUGGGGAGCAAACAGG
rnacentral:rRNA from 1 species